UCGAUUUGCUCAUUUUAUGCUUUGAAGUCUCCAGAGUAACGUACUUGGUAGCGACUGUUAGCGACUGACAAACGGUGUUAUCAUGGGACUGCUUUCUAGACUGAAAAAAGUGACUGGUUUGGAGAGUGUACAAGAACCCUGUGUACACCCCAAAGACUCCCCCAUCAUGACGGAGAACCGUCAACCGGCGCCGGUUGGUGCUCUUGAGACCGAUGUAGGGAGAAAGAUGAAGAGCUUCUGGAAGUGGGCCGCUCUUCACUUUGUUUCCCGCAGAAAGGGAACAUAUGACCUGGCCAAAGCUGAGGAGAAAUACGGGAUAGAGGCAGAAACACAGUGGAGAGAUAACGAUGAUCCAGCUCCUGAAGACCUCCUUGAUGCUGAAGAACAGCAGAAACACAGCGUCCUGGACAAGAACCAGAGUGAACUCUGUGUACAUCCUAAAGACGGCCCCAUCACGUCAGAGAGCCGUCAUCCUCAUCUGUCUGUUAGUGCUGCUGAGAUUGAUGAAGGGAGAGAGGAGGAGGAGAAGAAGAAGAAGAAGAAGAGCUUCUGGAAGUGGGCCGCUCAUCACUUUCCUUGCAGUGGAGCUGGAAGAUAUAAUCUGUCCGAAGCCGAGGAGAAAUGCUGGAAAGAGGCGGUAACACAGUGGAGAGAUAGCGAUGACCAGAGUGUACACGAACACUGUGUACAACCCAAAGACUCCCCCACCAGCUCUGAAGAGAUGCCUGUUAGUGCUGUUGAGAACGAUGGAGGGAGAACGGAGGCAGGGAGAGAGGAAGUCCUCCUCACUGCUGAGGAACAGCUCGUGCAGGACAUCCUGGACAAGGGUCACAUUCGCAAGCAAUAUAAAAUCGGCCACAUGCUUGGUGAAGGAGGAUGUGGCAGUGUUUAUGAAGGGACUCGCUGCGAGGAUGGACUUAAGGUGGCUGUGAAAUGUUCAGAGAAGACGCCAGGCAUGUCAUAUAUCAGAGUGCCUGGUCAUCUCAAACGUCUGCCAAUGGAGAUUGGCCUGAUGCUCAUGGCCAACAAUGGACCCAGCGUUUCCCAGAUCAUUAAGCUGCUUGACUGGGAGGAAGACAAAGAUCACUACGUGAUAGUCAUGGAGCGACCAGUGCCUUGCGUGGAUUUGUUUAGUUUUGUGGAUGAUGAAGGAAGCCUUGACGAGGGGAUUGCAAGAAAUAUUAUGCGGCAGGUCAUCGAUGCCGCUAAAACUUGCUGUGAUCGUGGCGUCUUCCAUCGUGAUAUAAAACUGGAGAACAUCUUGGUGAACCAGGACACCAUGGAGGUCAAAUUAAUUGACUUUGGGUGUGGUGCAGUCAUGAAGAAAUCUGCCUUCAAAUCCUUUAGUGGCACGAAACCGUACUGUCCACCUGAGUUCAACUUGAAGGGCAGGUACAAAGCAAAGCCAACCACAGUGUGGACUCUAGGGUUCAUCUUGUAUGAAAUGCUGUGCGGGGAAUGUCCUACAUCCUACGACCGACACAAGAUCACUGUGAACCUCUGGACCAGACCUGGCUUGUCAAAAGGUGAGAUCUUCAUCAAACAAUGAACUCCAGAUCAUACAGAAAGGACGGAUAGCUUCAAAGAGAGCAGGUGUAAAGUAAAUGUUUAUAAUCAAACAUCUCUCUCUUUUUUUCUCUUCACAGAAUGCUGCCAGAUGAUUUGUGAUUGUCUGCAGCCGGAUCCACAGAAGAGACUCAGUCUGGACGAGAUGCAUCUCCACGACUGGUUUAAGGACAUGGAGUAAAACACAACUUCAGAGAACAACUCCUGUCAUGGCCACCGUGUUGUUUUCUGUCUUCAGUCAGCUUUGUGUCU